UUUCAAAAUCGGUCAGAAAAAAGAAGCCCGGGAGUUCUCUUCUCACACUAUCAUCUCUCACACAAAACACUGCGGUUCCCUUUUCUCACACUGUCGUGAAUUCCCUUUUUCCGGCAAAGCUAUCGUCAUCGGCGGCGAAACCCUUGUCGCAGUCAUUGAAACCAAGCUCCUGGCGCUGGCGAAACCCUUUGUGGCCGCAUAAGAUCCCUAUUGUCGUCCCAACAAAGGCUCAGACGAAGCUCCAAAUGAAACCCUAUUAUAAAGCUGCUCUGAAGCUUUCAAUUAAGAUGUUGAAUCAUGUGAGUAAUAAUAGUAAUAGCUGCACAUUAGCUGUUCGUAGUAUAAGAGGCACUACUCUAGAAUUCAACCCCCAAGGCCUGUUUCUGUUAAACCAGUAAUCAGAGUAUCUAACAAUAUUGCUCGCCUGGAUGCUCCUAAAAAAGGUCCAAAACCCAGACAGCUGUUAUCAUUGCCUCCUUUUCCUGGCCACCCCUUGCCUGCCAAGAGCUCAAAUAGUGGUCCUGGACAGCGUGAUUAUGUUACUGCUGUCAAUUGGAUUAAGUAUUACUUCAAGGGUACAUGGGGUUCUGUCAUUGAAUCCCAUUUCAGAGAGGGUCUUGUGCAAAUGGAGG